CUUGAUUCGUCUAUUAGCAUCGAUCAAUUUUGCAUCAAUGAUGUUAUCAGCAGCAGUACCGAACUUUCGUGACAUCAUGCUAUACCCUCCACCACUAAAGUGUCCACCAACACCAACUGUUGGGCAAACCCCAGCAACUACGGCCAAAUUUUUACUUUUUUGAGCGAUUCUAUAGUAAACUUCCCCUAGGGUCGCGCCAGCUUGAAUCCAAGCAGUCUUUUUUUGGGUAUCAAUGGAUAUUGAUCUUAGGUUUCUAAGAUCAAUUACGACAAAGGGGAUUUUCGAAAUGUAUGAAAGUCCCUCAUAGUCAUGUCCACCGCUUCGAAUUCUAAUUUGUAGCCCAUGUUUCUUGGAACAAUGUAUAGCUGCCUGGAUUUGAGAUUCAUCAUUAGGAGUGAAAAUAAUUGAUGGUUUGAAGUUGGAGGUUAUCCUUAGGUUACGAUCUGAAAAGGAGUUAUAAAUGGUGGAAUAUGAUGAGUUUUUAGGAGUGUGGAUGACUUGUGAUAUUGUGUUUGAG